rnacentral:lncRNA from 1 species
GACUCUGUGCGACCCCAUAGACGGCAGCCCACCAGGCUCCCCCAUCCCUGGGAUUCUCCAGGCAAGAACACUGGAGUGGGUUGCCAUUUCCUCCUCCAGUGCGUGAAAGUGAAGUCGCUCAGUUGUGUCUGACUCUAGCGACCCCAUGGACUGCAGCCUACCAGGCUCCUCCGUUCAUGGGAUUUUCCAGGCAAGAGUACUGCAGUGGGGUGCCAUUGCCUUCUCCGUUCUCCUUCAUAGGUCCUGACUAAAAUACUGGAGCAUCAACUGGGAUUGGAAAAAAAUGGGAAAUAUGAGGGAAGAUCGUAUUUGCUAAAGAAAUGACUUUUUCUCCAGAUGGCGGCAGAAAGUCAGAGAAGAACAUGAAGAGAAAUAUAAUCUCCUAAGGGAAUAUCAAGGAAAUGACCUCUAUUGACAUUUCAAAAGCAGAAGUUGUACAUGUAGAAGUAUAAACACAGAAAAGCACAAAAAAAAAAAAAAAAAAAAAUUUUCCCCUGUCGGUCUCUCUCCCCAGAGGGGAGAAGACUCUGGAGGUACUUACGCCACUGGAAGGACCACUGUCCUUGGUGACUUUUGGAGGAUGACACUGACAAAACAUUACCAUCAUCGUCACAUUGCGAGGUUGUUUCUGCAACAGGGUCUACCAGCACAAUUGGAAAAGGACUUUAAAAAGCUUUAGGUCUCAUCAGCUCACGAAUUCUACAAUUCUUACAUCUUAGUCAGUUCCGUAUCUGUCUCCUUGUCAAUACAAGGCUCUUCUAUCUGGUUCCCAGUACUGUGUUUUGUCUGCCUAAAACAUUUAAUAGAACCACUUUUUGACAUGA